rnacentral:rRNA from 1 species
GCUUUACACAUGCAAGUCGAACGGCAGCAUAGAGAGCUUGCUCUCUGAUGGCGAGUGGCGAACGGGUGAGUAAUAUAUCGGAACGUGCCUAGUAAUGGGGAAUAACUAGCUGAAAGGUUAGCUAAUGCCGCAUACGACCUACGGGUGAAAGCAGGGGAUCUUCGGACCUUGCGUUAUUAGAGCGGCCGAUAUCUGAUUAGCUUGUUGGUGGGGUAAUGGCCUACCAAGGCGACGAUCAGUAGCUGGUCUGAGAGGACGAUCAGCCACACUGGAACUGAGACACGGUCCAGACUCCUACGGGAGGCAGCAGUGGGGAAUUUUGGACAAUGGGGGCAACCCUGAUCCAGCCAUUCCGCGUGAGUGAAGAAGGCCUUCGGGUUGUAAAGCUCUUUCGCAAGAGAAGAAAACUUGCUAUCUAAUAAAUAGUAAGUAUGACGGUAUCUUGACAAGAAGCACCGGCUAACUACGUGCCAGCAGCCGCGGUAAUACGUAGGGUGCAAGCGUUAAUCGGAAUUACUGGGCGUAAAGCGUGCGCAGGCAGUUUUAUAAGUCAGAUGUGAAAUCCCCGAGCUCAACUUGGGAACUGCGUUUGAAACUGUAAGACUAGAGUGUGUCAGAGGGGGGUAGAAUUCCAAGUGUAGCAGUGAAAUGCGUAGAGAUUUGGAGGAAUACCAAUGGCGAAGGCAGCCCCCUGGGAUAACACUGA